rnacentral:rRNA from 1 species
GACGAACGCUGGCGGCGUGCUUAACACAUGCAAGUCGAACGGAAAGGCCCUGCUUUUGUGGGGUGCUCGAGUGGCGAACGGGUGAGUAACACGUGUGUAACCUGCCCUUGACUUUGGGAUAUCUUCAGGUAACUGGGUCUAAUACCGGAUAGGAGCUCCUGCUGCAUGGUGGUGGUUGGUAAGUUUCGGCGGUUGGGGAUGGACUCGCUGCUUAUCAGCUUGUUGGUGUGGUAGUGGCUUACCAAGGCUUUGACGGGUAGCAGGCAUGAGAGGGUGACCGGGGACAUGGGGACUGAGAGACGGAACAGAAUGGAACGGGAGGCAGCAGUGGGGAAUAGUGCACAAUGGGCGGAAGGGAGAUGAAGAAAAGCGGCGAGCGGGAUGAAGGGCUACGGGUUGAAAAAAGAAUUCGCAUGAGACGAAGAGAGAGUGACGGUAAUGGGUAAAGAAGCACCGGCUAACUACGUG